GAUGAACGCUGACAGAAUGCUUAACACAUGCAAGUCAACUUGAAUUUGGGUUUUUAACUUAAGUUUGGGUGGCGGACGGGUGAGUAACGCGUAAAGAACUUGCCUCACAGCUAGGGACAACAUUUGGAAACGAAUGCUAAUACCUAAUAUUAUGAUAAUAGGGCAUCCUAUAAUUAUGAAAGCUAUAAGCGCUGUGAGAGAGCUUUGCGUCCCAUUAGCUAGUUGGAGAGGUAACGGCUCACCAAGGCGAUGAUGGGUAGCCGGCCUGAGAGGGUGAUCGGCCACAAGGGGACUGAGACACGGCCCUUACUCCUACGGGAGGCAGCAGUGGGGAAUAUUGGACAAUGGACCAAGAGUCUGAUCCAGCAAUUCUGUGUGCACGAUGAAGUUUUUCGGAAUGUAAAGUGCUUUCAGUUGGGAAGAAAGAAAUGACGGUACCAACAGAAGAAGUGACGGCUAAAUACGUGCCAGCAGCCGCGGUAAUACGUAUGUCACGAGCGUUAUCCGGAUUUAUUGGGCGUAAAGCGCGUCUAGGUGGUUAUGUAAGUCUGAUGUGAAAAAUGCAGGGCUCAACUCUGUAUUGCGUUGGAAACUGUAUAACUAUAGUACUGGAGAGGUAAGCGGAACUACAAGUGUAGAGGUGAAAUUCGUAGAUAUUUGUAGGAAUGCCGAUGGGUAAGCCAGCUUACUGGAAGAUACUGACGCUGAAGCGCUAAAGCGUGGGUAGCAAACAGGAUUAAAAUACCCUGGUAUCCAAGGUCGAAUUCCACAUUGGAUAUUGUGCUUAUCUAUACCGUCGACCUCAGGGGGGCCCCUGUAACCAAUUUUUGUUCCCCUUUAUAAGUGUUAUUUAAUUUCUGUUUUUUUCGGUGAUAUGUGUUUGUGUUGUUUUUCUGUGUUGCCUUGGCUCUGUGUGUGUCGUUUCUGCUGUGUUGUUUUUGAUGUAUGUAUUCUAAUGCGUG
rnacentral:rRNA from 1 species